rnacentral:rRNA from 1 species
GAAUGGGUGGUGUUGGUGGCUGCGAGCUGGUGUUGGCACACUGUUGGGUCCUGGAACAGCAGGCACCCUGAUCUGUGAGGGUUGGGGUUGUUGUUUCUGGUCUCCGUAUCUUGUGAAGCUGGCCUUGUGGGUUGRUGGAUGGGGUGUGGGUUGUUGUUUGAGAACUGCAUAGUGGACGCGAGCAUCUUAUUUUUUUUGUUGCUGCAUCGUUGAUCGCACUGUCCCCCCUGGGGUGGUGUGUGAGGUGUGGUGAUGCCGAGAAUGACAUCUUAGUUAGAUAUUGCUCAUUUGAGGACUUUCAUUGUGUGUGAAAGUUUCCAAGGGCGCAUGGUGGAUGCCUUGGCAACAGGAGCCGAAGAAGGACGUGGGAAUCUGCGAUAAGCCUGGUGGAGUCGAUAACCGGACGUUGAGACCAGGAUUUCCGAAUGGGGAAACCCCGCACGACGUGUCGUGUGACCCCCGGUUGAACACAUAGACCGGGUGGAGGGAACGUGGGGAAGUGAAACAUCUCAGUACCCACAGGAAGAGAAAACAAAAGUGAUUCCGUUAGUAGUGGCGAGCGAACGCGGAUGGGGCUAAACCGUAUGUGUGUGAUACCCGGCAGGGGUUGCAUGUGCGGUGUUGUGGGCCCCUCCUUGUCAUGUCUGCCGGCAUGGCGCAGUGAGGUGCGGGCAUAUAGACGAACCAGUGUGGAUGCUGGACCGUAGAGGGUGAGAGUCCCGUAGUCGAAAUGUGUUCCGCCGCUGUUGGAGGGUUGCCCGAGUAGCACGGGGCCCGAGGAAUCCCGUGUGAAUCUGCCAGGACCACCUGGUAAGCCUGAAUACUACCUGUUGACCGAUAGCGGAUCAGUACCGUGAGGGAAUGGUGAAAAGUACCCCGGGAGGGGAGUGAAAUAGUACCUGAAACCAUGUGCCUACAAACCGUUGGAGCCUCCUUGUGGGGUGACAGCGUGCCUUUUGAAGAAUGAGCCUGCGAGUUAGUGAUACGUGGCGAGGUUAMCCCGUGKGGGGAAGCCGUAGCGAAAGCGAGUCUGAAUAGGGCGAUUGAGUCGCGUGUCCUAGACCCGAAGCGGAGUGAUCUACCCAUGGCCAGGUUGAAGCGCGUGUAAGAGCGCGUGGAGGACCGAACCCACUUCAGUUGAAAAUGGAGGGGAUGAGCUGUGGGUAGGGGUGAAAGGCCAAUCAAACUCCGUGAUAGCUGGUUCUCCCCGAAAUGCAUUUAGGUGCAGCGUCACGUGUUUCUUCCCGGAGGUAGAGCUACUGGAUGGACGAUGGGCCCUACAAGGUUACUGACUUCAGCCAAACUCCGAAUGCCGGGAAGUGAGAGCGUGGCAGUGAGACUGUGGGGGAUAAGCUUCAUAGUCGAGAGGGAAACAGCCCAGACCACCGGUUAAGGCCCCUAAGCGUGUGCUAAGUGGGAAAGGAUGUGGAGUUGCUGAGACAACCAGGAGGUUGGCUUAGAAGCAGCCACCCUUGAAAGAGUGCGUAAUAGCUCACUGGUCAAGUGAUUCCGCGCCGACAAUGUAGCGGGGCUCAAGUACACCGCCGAAACCGUGGCAUUCAGUUUUGCUGGAUGGGUAGGGGAGCGUCGUUCACGAGGUGAAGCCAGCGGGUAACUUCUGGUGGAUUGUGGACGAGUGAGAAUGCAGGCAUGAGUAGCGAAAGACGGGUGAGAAMCCCGUCCGCCGGAUGACUAAGGGUUCCAGGGUCAAGCUAAUCUGCCCUGGGUAAGUCGGGACCUAAGGCGAGGCCGACAGGCGUAGUCGAUGGACAACGGGUUGAUAUUCCCGUACCAGUGAAGAAC